AAUUCUCAAAUAGCAUCAGUUUCUGUGGUUUCAAUUCCAAUCAACUUCAACUUUUCUAAUUUUUUCGUUUAUUCGAUCAAGUUACACAGCGACUUCAACUGCUGAAUCAUGUCGUGCUCUCAAACCACCUGCAAAGAACAAUGCUCCACUUGCAAAUGUAUCGUAAAAGAGAAAACUAUUUGUAAAAAAGACGAUUGCUGUCCCGAAGACCCUUGCUGUAAAAAAGACUGCUCCGCUGUUUAUAAGCAAUUGGGAUGCUGUAUUCAGGAAUGUUUGAUGGAGAAGUGCAGAGAAGCUAAAAAGAAAAGAGAUUGUUGCUAGUUUUUAGCAUUUUCUCUGAUUAAUAAUUUGUGUAAUUUUCACUAUUUAUUUCGAGCCACUUUAUUGAUUUAUUUUGGAGUAAAUAAAUUAUUUUAUUCAAAA